rnacentral:tmRNA from 1 species
GGGGCCGACCUGGCUUCGACGUGGGUCGCAAAGCAGCGUAGGGCAUACCGAGGGUCAGAGCACCUCGUAAAUCCAACUGAAAAA